rnacentral:rRNA from 1 species
UACGUAGGGGCCAAGCGUUGUCCGGAUUUAUUGGGCGUAAAGAGCUCGUAGGCGGUUCGGUAAGUCAGCUGUGAAAUCUCCACGCUCAACGUGGAGGGGUCAACUGAUACUGUGCGACUAGAGUGCAGAAGGGGCAACUGGAAUUCUCGGUGUAGCGGUGAAAUGCGUAGAUAUCGAGAGGAACACCUGCGGCGAAGGCGGGUUGCUGGGCUGACACUGACGCUGAGACGCGAAAGCGUGGGGAGCGAACAGG